rnacentral:lncRNA from 1 species
ACAUCACUCAGGAGCCCAUGGGGAUGAGAGGCAUUCACAGAGCAUCAGGGAAAAUGGAAAGCAACAUUUUGCUUAACAGGAGAAACCGCCCCUUAUUCAUCUUUCUCCCACAUCACCUAACUCUAGGGAAUGCUUAACGUGGCUUGAAGGAAAUGAAGACAGCGACCUAAAAGCACACAGAUGCAAGACUUCCAGGAAGAGGUUUUCCCAUCCUGCUGGACUCCUGUAGUGUCAGUAUUUGGGGCUCCCUCUAAUGCUACAUUUCUGCUGAGCCUGCAGACAUACUUGGAACCCAUCACCUUCGGGCUCCCAGACUCAGGCUCCGCACAGCCCGCGAGGGAAACGGUCAUGGGCACGCACGGACACGUUUCCAUCUUUGCAUGUUUAUCUACGUCGACUGUGAAUUCAAGCAAGUGUGGCCCUCGUGGACAACCUACGAGCCUUAGGGACACAAAAGGCUUCCUGCGCAAACUGCACGGAAUCUCCUGACAGGACUUCACGUUAAUCAUCAUUCAUAGGUGGGUUCUGGGGCUGGACCCCACGGAACUCCUCUUGGUUGUGUCUUGGACUUCUCACUGCCCCAAAGGAGCCUACUACUGUGGUUUUAUGGUCUGAGGAACAGUUAGGCCUCGAAGGCCUGGCCUAGGGAGAGUGCACUCUGCAUCCCGAGCUCCCGCCUUCCCCACUCGGCGGCCGGGACCGAGUUUCCCGCCCCACAGCCCGACCAGAGGUUGGUGGCAGUUGGAGGCAGUUGGGACCGGCCCCAGCAGGUUGGAACCGGUCUGGGCCGGGCCGGAGGAGGAAGGGGGGGAGGAAGAGGCCGCCUCGCGCUCUCCCUGCGCGCGUGACUCACGCUGGCCGCUGACGUCAGGCGUGCGCGCGCGGCGGGGGGGGGGGGGCUCUACGUACGUGUAGUGCUGCGGUUUCUCGGGCUGUGCCUGCAGCACCUGAGCGGUAGCGGCCGGGGGCGCCGAGGAAGCUGCGGAGCCGCCGGGCCCGGGGCCCUUCGACAUGGUCUUGUCUUCCUGCCUCUUCGCCGCUCCCCUUUUAUUAUUCAGUCUGCGCGGUCCGCGCCGAGGACCCAGUGCGCCUGCGCCGCGCCACGAGAACGUGAAGACCCCCCACACGGCAGCAGGGGUUGCUGGGAGUUGUGGUUCUAUGUCCGGCUGGAAUUUUACCGUCGGCAGAGGGUUGCUGGCAAAGCACAGGACCACAAUACCCAGGGAUCCUUGCUGCUAGUGUCCCGGAUGCUGAGGGCCUGCGACGGCUUCUGGGAAUUGCAGUCCGGUCGCAUUUCUCCUUCUUACCAGCGCGUUUUCAGUUUCAUAGGGAAGCCUUUCCAUGAAACUGGAGCGCCUGGAGGAGAAGGGGCCCAGAGCUAGGGAGGCCCUAGCGAUUUCUGCGAAAGAGUUCCAAGUAUAAUUUCACUGCCAACAGUGUCAUAACUACUUUGCCUUUAUACUUAGUACAGCUAGGUUCGGUUCUAAUGCCAGCUCAGAGCAGUGCUCCAAGCAGGGCUUAAGAAUCUGUGUUGUCGGUUCUUAGUUCUGGGCCCUGUGCUGCAGGCACCUGCAAUCCGCCAGCAACCCCUUCAUCCCUGCGGCGGGUCUAACCUAAGAGGCAUUGAGAAAGCUUUGCUAAGGAGGAGGUACACCGCACGCUACAGUUCCCGCGCCUUUGCCGAGGCGCUUCAUUUACCUUUGCCAAACUCGACACCUGGAACUCCACGACUUGUGUGCUUUCUCAGCCUGACACCUGGCCUGACCAACUUGUUUCCAGUACAUUAAGGGCCAAGGACGAAUUUAAUCUCCGCCUAGAAUAGUCUCUGAGGUACACUGACAAGUUGCCAGUGUUGAGAAGCAUCACAGGGUCCAGAGGAAAGGCCUGGGUUUGAGUAGGGCGUGCCCGUAUUUAUCCACUCUAGUUUUCUUGUCUGGACGUCAGCCUUUUUACUUGGGACAUUAUCUUUCCCCUCUCUGCUUCCCACCAGUCAAGCAAAGUUCUUCACUUUAUAAAAUAAGCCAGAUGCCCCAGACCUAGGCAUUUGUUUCUGUGAGUUUUAGAAUGUUCUCCGUAGAUAUUUUAACCGUUGUCAUUUAAUUUGGUUUUUCAUAUUGAAUCUAUUUCAAAUCCACUGGUUUUGAUUUAUAUUUUCUUAGAUGGGAUUAUAUUAACAAAUGAUUAUCUCAUUAAAGAAACACAUUCCAAAUAACCUUAGGGAUGAAGGGUGGUGGGGCUAAUGGAAAAUCGUUAAUGUUUGAGUGACACAUACUUAUUUUAUUUAGCUCCAAGUUCCCUCACAUCAGAAGCCACAUCACAGAGUUGAGAAACUGGUUUUUCCUAAACAGGCUAAAUCGUUUAGCCACUAGGGGCGUUUGAAAAUGAAAAAUUACAAAAGGACAAAUAAAAGUUGUAGUAUAUUGCUUUAAUCCUAUGAUUAAACGCAAGUUACUUGGUUUAUGUUAGCCUCACAAUACUCAAGUGUGAUCUGACUGAAGAAAUAGAGUUCACAGCACUGGAUUUUAAAUAAUAGAUGUAUAUCAUGAGCUUCAGAAUAAGUGUGUACUGGUGGAGUUGGGAGAUGAUAUCAUCCAAACUGCUUAAUUUACAAAAGAGGAAACCGAAACCCAGAGAAGCUAAGUAACUUGCACAAAGUUACUCAGCAAGUUGGUAACAAGAGGAACUAGGACAGUAGCCUACAAGACUACAUCACAUUCACUGUUGGGUUUUGUUUGUUUUGUUUUCUUCUGCUUUUUUUCAUUGUAUAAACAUUUUUUAUUCUUCCUC